rnacentral:rRNA from 1 species
UCGCAAGACCUCGCGCGAUUGGAGCGGCCGAUAUCACGAUUAGGUAGUUGGUGGGGGUAAAAGCCCCACCCAAGCCUGCGAUCUGUAGCUGGUCUGGAGAGGACGACCCAGCCACACUGGGACUGAGACACGGCCCCAGACUCCUACCGGGAGGCAGCAGUGGGGAACUUUUGGACAAAUGGGCGCAAGCCUGAUCCAGCAAUCGCCGCGUGCAGGAAGAAGGCCUUCGGGUUGUAAACUGCUUUUGACGGAACGAAACGGCUCUGGUUAACUACCUGGGCUAAUGACGGUACCGUAAGAAUAAGCCACCGGCUAACUACGUG